rnacentral:rRNA from 1 species
UACGUAGGUGGCAAGCGUUACUCGGAAUUACUGGGCGUAAAGGGCGCGUAGGCGGCCUUCUAAGUCGAACGUGAAAUCCCCGGGCUCAACCCGGGAACUGCGUCCGAUACUGGAAGGCUUGAAUCCGGGAGAGGGAUGCGGAAUUCCAGGUGUAGCGGUGAAAUGCGUAGAUAUCUGGAGGAACACCGGUGGCGAAGGCGGCAUCCUGGACCGGCAUUGACGCUGAGGCGCGAAAGCCAGGGGAGCAAACGGG